rnacentral:rRNA from 1 species
UGAAUACGAGACGCUACGGCGUCGAAGCAGUCUAUGUCAUACUUCCAAGAAAAGCUUGCACUGUCAUAAACAAAUAAUGCCUGUACCAUAACCGACACAGGUGGGUAGGUAGAGUAUACUAAGGGGCGCGAGAUAACUCUCUCUAAGGAACUCGGCAAAAUGACUCCGUAACUUCGGGAGAAGGAGUGCCUUAAGAAAUUAAGGUUGCAAUAACAAGAUCCAAGCAACUGUUUAUCAAAAACACAGGUCUCCGCUAAGUCGUAAGACGAUGUAUGGGGGCUGACGCCUGCCCAGUGCCAGAAGGUUAAAGAAGUCGGUUAGCAUUAGCGAAGCUGGUAACUGAAGCCCUGGUGAACGGCGGCCGUAACAAUAACGGUCCUAAGGUAGCGAAAUUCCUUGUCGGGUAAGUUCCGACCCGCACGAAAGGCGUAAUGAUUUGGAUUCUGUCUCGGAGAGGGACUCGGUGAAAUAGACUUGUCUGUGAAGAUGCGGACUACCUGCACCAGGACAGAAAGACCCUAUGAAGCUUUACUGUAACUUGUAAUUGAAAUUGGACUUUACUUGCGCAGUAUAGGUGGGAGGCGUUGAGAAUAUUCUUGCGGGAAUAUUGGAGCCAUCAGUGAGAUACCACUCUUGUAAUGUUAGAUUUCUAACUUUGUAUCAUUAUCUGGUCAAAGAACAGUUUCAGGCGGGCAGUUUGACUGGGGCGGUCGCCUCCUAAACGGUAACGGAGGCGCACAAAGGUUUCCUCUGAACGGGUAGAAAUCGUAUCUAGAGUGUAAAGGCAUAAGGAAGCUUGACUGUGAGACCUACAAGUCGAGCAGGGACGAAAGUCGGUCUUAGUGAUCUGACGGUGCUGAGUGGAAAGGCCGUCACUCAACGGAUAAAAGUUACUCUAAGGAUAACAGGCUGAUCUCCCCCAAGAGUUCACAUCGACGGGGAGGUUUGGCACCUCGAUGUCGGCUCAUCGCAUCCUGGGGCGGUAGUACGUCCCAAGGGUUGGGCUGUUCGCCCAUGAAAGCGGUACGCGAGCUGGGUUCAGAACGUCGUGAGACAGUUCGGUCCAUAUCCGGUGUAGGCGUUAGAAUAUUGAGAGGAGCCUUCUUUAGUACGAGAGGACCGAGAAGGACAUACCUCUGGUGUACCAGUUAUCGUGCCAACGGUAAACGCUGGGUAGCCAUGUAUGGAGAGGAUAACCGCUGAAAGCAUCUAAGUGGGAAGCCCACCUCAAGAUAAGUAUUCGC